ACCCGACCCCAACGANANACGAUGGAUAGGGGUUCUGAGAGGAAGGUCCCCCACAUUGGAACUGAGACACGGUCCAAACUCCUACGGAAGGCAGCAG
rnacentral:rRNA from 1 species